CCACUGCUCAGCUGGUAAAGCACAAGGCUCUUAACCUUAUGGUCGUGGGUUCGAGCCCCACGGUGGG
rnacentral:tRNA from 1 species